rnacentral:tRNA from 1 species
AGGAUUAGCUCAGCUGGGAGAGCACCUGCCUUACAAGCAGGGGGUCGGCGGUUCGAUCCCGUCAUCCUCCACCAUA